rnacentral:rRNA from 1 species
UGAGGAAUAUUGGUCAAUGGGCGAGAGCCUGAACCAGCCAAAUCGCGUGAAGGAAGACUGCCUUAUGGGUUGUAAACUUCUUUUAUACAGGAAUAAAAAAGGGGACGUGUCCCUUAUUGCAUGUACUGUAUGAAUAAGCAUCGGCUAACUCCGUGCCAGCAGCCGCGGUAAUACGGGGGAUGCGAGCGUUAUCCGGAUUUAUUGGGUUUAAAGGGUGCGCAGGCGGGCUUUUAAGUCAGCGGUGAAAUCUCGGGGCUUAACUCCGAAACUGCCGUUGAAACUGGGAGUCUUGAGUAUGGAUGAAGUAGGCGGAAUUCGUUGUGUAGCGGUGACAUGCUUAGAUAUAACGAGGAACUCCGAUUGCGUAGGCAGCUUACUAAGCCAUAACUGACGCUCAAGCACGAAAGCGUGGGGAUCAAAACAGGAUUAGAUACCCUGGUAGUCCACGCCGUAAAACGAUGAUUACUAGUUGUAUGCGAUAUACCGUAUGUGACUAAGCGAAGGCGAUAAGUAAUCCACCUGGGGAGUACGCCGGCAACGGUGAAACUCAAAUGAAUUGACGGGGUCAUAGCUGUUUCCUG